rnacentral:lncRNA from 1 species
UGUAAAGAUGAAUGAUGUGGAGAAUGUUGAAUGAAAGCGCGCGGGAGUCGGUCAACAUAUUUUUUCAAACAAUUCUUGAGUUGAUGGAUUCCAUUACAUUGUCUAAGUUCAAUCUUUCUAUUUGUCUCUUGACAAGAUGGGUUGUGGUGAUUUCUAUGUUCGUAAAAGCUUCCAGAGCAAUAAAGAAGGGGGUCGGAGGACAAAGGCUUUUUUCCUUGGACUUGACAUUAAAUAAAAUCUUUUUGUCUCUGAGAUGAAGCUCCCUUUGAGCUAGGAGUAGGGCAACAGAGUUCAAGCCUGCUGUCCUGAAAAAUGCAUCCUUACUGCUCAAUCUGCUAUUAUAAUUAAGUACUUACUUGGAUUGAAGGAGUAUUUAAAGAUGUUUUUGGAGUUGGACUAAAUGGAAUCUCUAUGGAAAAAGGUUUUUAUUUAAUUUUUGGAAUCUGUUGAGGUAAGAUAAAGAAGUGGAACCCACUUAAUUAAUUGGUUUAUUUAUCUGGGUUUUCUGGAAGUUAAUGUAUGUAGAGUUCUGAAUUUUUUAAUAAAAUUUGAUCGUUUAUCAUCAGCGUGCAAGAGGUAUUUCAAGGUCUUAUUUCCAGGUUCCAUGUUUUUUAUCGUUGUAUUUGAUGUUAUUUCCUUCGACAGGCCAUUGAUAAUGUUAAUGAGAGUAUAUCUCCCAUACUUGCUCCUCAGAGAAUAUGAAAUUUCACGAAUGAACACGGUAUAUCUAUUCUUGAUGAGGAGUUUUAUCUUUAGCAUCAAAGCUAGUAGUGAACACUUACUUAUAAGAUCUGGAACGAAUCCUAUUUUGAAAAUAUUAUAGAAGACCUUUUCAGGAAUGGGUCCUAGUGGAGUACCUAAAAACAUUCGAAAGGUAGCCCGAAAAGCCCUGGAGAUUUCAAUUGACUAUCAUAUUCUCAGCUCUUUGAAUAUUUUGGAGGAUUUGCAUGCUAUUUAUCGAAAUUCCUCUAUGUGACAUUCCUUAUUGGCUUGAGCGUAAAUAAAGGUUUUGAAACUGCUAGAGGCAUUUACUUAUUGAUGAAUAACAAUACAUACAUGUAAGAGCUUUUGAAUACAAAUUAAUGGAUGUUUUAAGAAUUUUCUAAAGUAAUGAAGUGUCUCAAAAGUUGAAAAAAAAAUAUUCUAAAAGGCUCUUGUAUAUUCAGAUAUUGAAACUCUGAAAUAGUUCAAGUUGGAAUAAAGAGCACCUGAGAUGA